GCUCUCGUAGCUCAAUUGAUUAGAGCGCACGCUUAGCAAGCGGAGGUCUUGAGUUCAAUUCUCAAUGAGAGCA